AUUGAACGCUGGCGGCAUGCUUUACACAUGCAAGUCGGACGGCAGCACAGAGAAGCUUGCUUCUUGGGUGGCGAGUGGCGAACGGGUGAGUAACAUAUCGGAACGUACCGAGCAGUGGGGGAUAACUAAUCGAAAGAUUAGCUAAUACCGCAUAUCUUCUGAGGAAGAAAGCAGGGGACCAUUUGGCCUUGCGCUGUUUGAGCGGCCGAUAUCUGAUUAGCUAGUUGGUGGGGUAAAGGCCUACCAAGGCGACGAUCAGUAGCGGGUCUGAGAGGAUGAUCCGCCACACUGGGACUGAGACACGGCCCAGACUCCUACGGGAGGCAGCAGUGGGGAAUUCUGGACAAUGGGCGCAAGCCUGAUCCAGCCAUGCCGCGUGUCUGAAGAAGGCCUUCGGGUUGUAAAGGACUUUUGUCAGGGAAGAAAAGGGCGGGGUUAAUACCCCUGUCUGAUGACGGUACCUGAAGAAUAAGCACCGGCUAACUACGUG
rnacentral:rRNA from 1 species